GGCCUACGGGGGGCAGCAGUGGGGAAUAUUGCACAAUGGGGGAAACCCUGAUGCAGCAACGCCGCGUGAGUGAAGAAGUAUUUCGGUAUGUAAAGCUCUAUCAGUAGGGAAGAAGAAAGACGGUACCUGACUAAGAAGCCCCGGCUAACUACGUGCCAGCAGCCGCGGUAAUACGUAGGGGGCAAGCGUUAUCCGGAUUUACUGGGUGUAAAGGGAGCGUAGGUGGCAAGGCAAGUCAGAUGUGAAAACCCGGGGCCCAACCCCGGGAGUGCAUUUGAAACUGUCUGGCUAGAGUGCAGGAGAGG
rnacentral:rRNA from 1 species